rnacentral:misc_RNA from 1 species
CGUAAAGCGCGGCUUAUAAGGAAACAGCCCAUUGAAGGUGGCAGGUACGACCACACUUCUUUAAAUCGAGGACGUGCGUUUGUAUCCCCUGCUGUUAUGUUUUUGACGAAAUGGAUUACACUUGUGAUGAUUCUGCUGGGCAAAAACAAUUGCGACGGAUGGACAACAAAUUUAGCUCCUUUUUUCGGCCGUCCAAGCCAAAGCGAUGUCACUCGGAGCCGACAUCCCCACCAUCCACCUGCGGUCUUUCCACCGCAUCACAGCCCGCUUGCGGCUGGUCGGCCUUCGUGGUUUACCCAGUGGUUUGACCACAGGCAUGCUGAGGAGGCCAAGUCGCUGCAGACGAUUUCUCGCCCACCAAUGAGUCCCACUGGUAGUCUUGCCGCAAAAGCUCGGCGAGGUAACACACCUCUACCAAGCACGAGCUUGCCCACUUCGAAUCAUACCAUACGUCUUCGAGGAGGAAGGUUGCCGCACGAGGGCUUCCUGGAGGUGAAAAUCGCAGGGAAGUGGCAGUCGCUGUGUGGUGACGCGUGGAACCAACGACUGACAGCAAUGGCGUGCACCGAAAUGGGCUUCAACAGAGGCGGAGAAUACGUACAAAGGAAAUAUCCCUGGCUGACAGCUCGACAUGGUUUUGACGUGGACUGCCCGAAGGAGGUGACCAAUAUGGCACACUGCACCAUUAGAAGAACUAUGUGCACCAGCAUGCGGAGAAUCAGGCUUUCCUGUAAUCGCGAUCCCGCGUCCGCCUGCAAUCCGGGAGAGCACCCGUUCCAAGGUAUGUGUCACCUAGUGAUUGGGACGCCGAGUCUGACACACGCGGAAGCCAGGUCCUUUUGUGAAUCGAGGGGAUCUCGACUUGUCAGCAUCAGUUCCAGUGCCAAGAAGAACUUCAUGUCAGAAUUGUUGCUAGCCCUUCAAAAAGGACUCGACCGCUGGCACACUGAUGGCAUUCGAAUCAACGGCGUCUGGAAGUGGGAGGCGAGUAACCAGGUGCUCACACCAGACCGGCCAUGGCAACUCCACAAUGCGGUUCUCCCGGCUGCACCAGAAUGCCUCAUUCUGGAAAGAGUGUUCCCAGAAAAAUUCCGCGGAACACCGCUCGAGGAGGUGCGCCACAUGUGGAACACAGCUCACUGUUCAGAGAGGCUGCCAUUCAUAUGCGAGAGAGCGACCUUUCCGAUAGGUUGUCGUAAUCCUGACGGGGCAUACUUUGGCUCUGCGAACGUUACGGAGACUGGAAAGCCUUGCCUACAUUGGGGAGAUCCUUGGAAUGGCCCUUCUGUGAGCAGACACUACCCCCAAGCGUACCAGGAAAUGAAAUUGCACAAUCACUGCCGUUCGCCCGAUGGUGACGAUACGCCCUGGUGUUUUGUGAGUGAAUCAGAAUACGAACACUGCGAUAUACCGGAGUGCUCGCUAGUUCAAAGUCCAAGCGUUGCCAUGGUGUUGUCGAAAUGUGCUGACAAUGAAUUUCAGUGUAGCCCUGAACAAUGCAUCCGAAAAGAGUGGAUCUGUGAUGGCGACGUAGACUGCCAUAAUGGAAGGGACGAAGUGAACUGUGAACGUCUCCUCGAAAUGUUUCGAAGGACACCUAUGACUAGAAUGAGCAGCUACGAGGCAGCAAGGUAUUUUUCUGCGAGCGUCACAAAGUGCGCGGCCAAGUGUGUCUACACAGCAGCGUUCACCUGCCGAUCCUUUAGCUACAUGUCGUCCGGCAGCCUUUGUAUACUUAGUGACCGCAACGUGGCUCAAACGGGUUCGCUUGUUGGUGACCCUCGGUUUGACUAUUACGAAAGCACGACUUACUCUGACAACUGCACCGGCAUGUACCGCUGUCGCAACGGCAAAUGCAUCGAGAGACAACGUGUGUGUGACAUUGCCAAUGACUGUGGCGAUAGGUCGGACGAAACCAACUGCCUGACCCGGAUGAGCUUCGAGGUGCGCCUUCGUGGUGGAUCCCAAACCUUGCUACCACUAGCUGAAGGCCGCGUGGAGGUCAAGGUUCACGAUCAGUGGGGUCUCGUCUGCGACGACAACUGGGACACUGAAGCGGCCAACGUUGUGUGCAGAGAGCUCGGCUUCCCUUUGGGUGCCAUCGAGGCAACCAAAGAGUCACAGCACGGACUACCAGCUGAAGACGGAAUCGCUGAAAUAUUCAUGGAUGACGUUUUGUGCGUCGGCAACGAGACAUCGCUGGCUCACUGCUCCUUCCCCGGAUGGAAAAAGCACAACUGUUUUGUUAACGAGACGGCGGGAGUGCGAUGCAGAACCAAAGCGUGCGGGCAGUCUGAGCUGGAAUGUUCCGGAGCCUGCAUCCCGUACUACCUUGUUUGCAACGAGCAAAGAGACUGCGCCGACGGUGCAGACGAAGAGUUCGAGUGCGAAAGUAAGCUGGCCAUCCGGCUCAUGGGAGGACCACACCCGCUCUCGGGAAGACUGGAACUGCGCAGACACGGCAUAUGGGGCACAGUCUGCGCUGAUGGCUUCGGACCAGUGGAGGCUCGCGUGGCGUGUGCCAUGUUGGGCAUAGCUAAUGCCAGCGUCACCGUGCUCGGAGGCCUCCCCUAUGGUCCUGGAAAAGGUCCUACUUGGCUGGAAGAUGUGCACUGUUUGGGCACGGAGAGUUCUCUGGAAGAGUGUCGCAGCAUUCCUUGGGGAUACAGCGACUGCAGUCACAAUAAGGACGUGGCGAUCACGUGCAGCUCGUACCACGAGCAUCCCGAGCCACCGAGUAUUACCUCAUGCAUACCUGCGGAAUGCCAAAGUACCAGCCCCGAAUGGACCAGGCAUCUGUGCUUUUCCAAUAUCACACGAGCAGGAACAGAAUCCUGCAUCAGAACUUCCACUCAGCCAGGUCACCGAGAAGACGCAUCACCGGGCGCAUUGUUGACGGCAUACCAGCCCAUUAUGGCGCCCACCCUUGGUUGGUGGACGUGCGUCUGCGCGACCUCUCAGGGGAGACACUGCACUGGUGCGGAGGCACCAUCCUGACCCACGACUUGAUUCUUACUGCUGCGCAUUGCUUCAAGUUUUCGCCGAACGUGUCACAACUGGUCGUGCGCGUGGGACAGUACAAGCUCUACGCACCCGACCCUUACGAGCUCGAGUUCCAGGUCGAGGCCAUGCGUGUUCACAGAGAUUUCAAUCCAGACACCUUCUACAACGACAU